rnacentral:rRNA from 1 species
AAGGUAACGGCUUACCAAGGCAACGAUGCAUAGCCGACCUGAGAGGGUGAUCGGCCACACUGGAACUGAGACACGGUCCAGACUCCUACGGGAGGCAGCAGUAGGGAAUCUUCCGCAAUGGGCGAAAGCCUGACGGAGCAACGCCGCGUGAGUGAUGAAGGUCUUCGGAUCGUAAAACUCUGUUAUUAGGGAAGAACAUAUGUGUAAGUAACUGUGCACAUCUUGACGGUACCUAAUCAGAAAGCCACGGCUAACUACGUGCCAGCAGCCGCGGUAAUACGUAGGUGGCAAGCGUUAUCCGGAAUUAUUGGGCGUAAAGCGCGCGUAGGCGGUUUUUUAAGUCUGAUGUGAAAGCCCACGGCUCAACCGUGGAGGGUCAUUGGAAACUGGAAAACUUGAGUGCAGAAGAGGAAAGUGGAAUUCCAUGUGUAGCGGUGAAAUGCGCAGAGAUAUGGAGGAACACCAGUGGCGAAGGCGACUUUCUGGUCUGUAACUGACG